CCAAAUUUUCCAACACUUUAUGAUAAUGUCCAUUUUCAGACUCCAGCCCCAGAGAGUCUGAUUCAGAAUGUUGGUGAAGCCUCAGAAUCGUUAUUUUGCAGCUUUCAGAGGAAAGGGGAAAGAAAAGGAGGUAGAAGAAGUAAAGACUCUCUCCCACCUUGAUCUUGGGAUCCCUACUGAGGAAGUGGAAGACAAUGAGGCAGGAGGGUGGCCUCAGAGUCAAGUACGGGCUUUGCAAUCAGACAGAUCUGAAUUUAAAUCCCAGCUCCACCAUUCAAUUACUGUUAUCACCUUGAGCUCAGUUCCAUGUCUGUAGAGAUAAUACUUAACCUUCAGAACUGUAGUAAACAUUCAAUGAAAU